rnacentral:sRNA from 1 species
GGAAAUGGAAAAUUUCUUCAAAGUCUUCGAGGAAAUCCGCUCCCUUGCCUGGUCAGAGCUCAUGGAGCAAGAAUCUGUGGCCCAAUACCAGCUUCAUCAUCACCAGAAUGUUCAUGAACCGGGUACCCACGUGGAACGACACGAGAAAAUGCUCAGUCCAUCCCGUCGUCGGGGACAUAAAGAUGAUGAUGAUUUUGGGAAAAGGCAUGAAAUGAAGCAGAAACAUGCAGAAGAGCUACGUCAGCAACUGCAGGAGGCAAAAGCUUCGAAGCUUAAAGAGCUCACGAGCCGAGUUGAGGAAGUUCGGAUGAAGCAGGAGGCCUUGAAAG